rnacentral:rRNA from 1 species
UUCAACGGAGAGUUUGAUCCUGGCUCAGGACGAACGCUGGCGGCGUGCUUAACACAUGCAAGUCGAGCGGUAAGGCCCCUUCGGGGG